UACGUAGGGUCCGAGCGUUAAUCGGAAUUACUGGGCGUAAAGCGUGCGCAGGCGGUUUUGUAAGCCAGAUGUGAAAGCCCCGGGCUCAACCUGGGAACUGCAUUUGGGACUGCAAGGCUGGAGUACGGCAGAGGGAGGUGGAAUUCCACGUGUAGCAGUGAAAUGCGUAGAGAUGUGGAGGAACACCGAUGGCGAAGGCAGCCCCCUGGGUUAACACUGACGCUCAGGCACGAAAGCGUGGGGAGCAAACAGG
rnacentral:rRNA from 1 species